rnacentral:rRNA from 1 species
UGGGGAAUCUUGCACAAUGGGGGCAACCCUGAUGCAGCGACGCCGCGUGAGCGAUGAAGCCCUUCGGGGCGUAAAGCUCUUUCGACCGGAACGAUAAUGACGGUACCGGGAGAAGAAGCUGCGGCUAACUACGUGCCAGCAGCCGCGGUAAUACGUAGGCAGCAAGCGUUGUUCGGAGUUACUGGGCGUAAAGAGUGCGUAGGCGGUUUUCUAAGUUCGGUGUGAUAUCUCCCGGCUUAACUGGGAGGGUGCGCCGAAGACUGGGAAGCUGGAGUGUGGGAAAGGCAGGCGGAAUUCCUGGUGUAGCGGUGAAAUGCGUAGAUAUCAGGAGGAACACCGGCGGUGUAGACGGCUUGCUAGACCAUAACUGACGCUGAGGCACGAAAGCGUGGGUAGCAAAC